rnacentral:rRNA from 1 species
ACUCUUUCCCUACACGACGCUCUUCCGAUCUAAAACAUGCAAGUCGAACGCGAAAGUACCUUCGGGUGCGAGUAGAGUGGCGAAAGGGCGAGGAAUACGUUCCUACGUACCCCAAGGCCGGGGAUAGCUCAGGGAAACCUGGGGUAAUACCCGAUACGGUGCUUCGGCAUCAAAGGCUUGCCACCUUGGGAGCGGGGAACGUCCUAUCAGGUAGUUGGUGAGGUAAAGGCUCACCAAGCCAAAGACGGGUAGCGGGUGUGAGAGCAUGACCCGCCGCAUCGGAACUGAGACACUGUCCGGACUCCUACGGGAGGCUGCAGUAACGAAUAUUCCGCAAUGCGCGAAAGCGUGACGGGGCAAUGCCGCGUGUGGGAUGAAGCCCUUCGGGGUGUAAACCACUGUCAGGGUUUAGGAACACAAUGACCAAACUCAAAGGAAGGGCCGGCUAACUCUGUGCCAGCAGCCGCGGUAAUACAGAGGGCCCGAGCGUUAAUCGGAAUCACUGGGCUUAAAGAGUGUGUAGGCGGACAUAUAGGUACUUUGUGAAAUCCCACGGCUCAACCGUGGAAUAGCUUGGUAAACCAUAUGUCUUGAGGCAGGUAGGGGUGGUCGGAACGAUAGGUGGAGCGGUGAAAUGCGUAGAUAUCUAUCGGAACGCCAACGGAGAAGUCAGGCCACUGGGCCUGUCCUGACGCUGAGACACGAAAGCAUGGGUAGCGAACGGGAUUAGAUACCCCGGUAGUCCAUGCCGUAAACGAUGCACACUAGGUCGGGGAGGUUGACGCCCUCCCGGCCGAAGCAAAAGUGUUUAGUGUGCCGCCUGGGGAGUACGGUCGCAAGGCUAAAACUCAAAGGAAUUGACGGGGGCUCACACAAGCGGUGGAGCAUGUGGCUUAAUUCGAAGCAACGCGAAGAACCUUAUCCAGGGUUUGACAUCCAGGAUUAAACCAUUGAAAGAUGGUCUACACCCUUUGGGUGGAACGGUGACAGGUGCUGCAUGGCUGUCGUCAGCUCGUGCUGUGAAGUGUCGGGUUAAGUCCCUCAACGAGCGCAACCCUUAUCGUUAGUUGCUAACAGGUAAUGCUGAGGACUCUAACGAGACUGCCGGUGUCAAACCGGAGGAAGGUGGGGAUGACGUCAAGUCCUCAUGGCCUUUAUGCCCAGGGCUGCACACGUGCUACAAUGCCGAGAUCGGAAGGCACACGUCUGAACUCCAGUCACAUGGAGAAUCUCGUAUG